ensembl:snoRNA Y40B1A.6 ncRNA
GAAGAUCAAGAGCGAGGAUCGGGCCCUUAGCAGGCCUACUGAGCCACGUUUGUAAAGAUCUAGCUUCAAAUUGCACCAAAUUAUACACAUGUUUAAGUCUAACUCGAGAGUUUGAUAGAAGGCUCACCGUGGAAG